AUGAACGCUGGCGGCGUGCCUCAUCCAUGCAAGUCGCGCGAACAGAUAAGGAGCUUGCUCCUUUGACGUUAGCGGCGGACGGGUGAGUAACACGUGGGUAACCUACCUAUAAGACUGGAAUAACUCCGGGAAACCGGGGCUAAUGCCGGAUAACAUUUAGAACCGCAUGGUUCUAAAGUGAAAGAUGGUUUUGCUAUCACUUAUAGAUGGACCCGCGCCGUAUUAGCUAGUUGGUAAGGUAACGGCUUACCAAGGCAACGAUACGUAGCCGACCUGAGAGGGUGAUCGGCCACACUGGAACUGAGACACGGUCCAGACUCCUACGGGAGGCAGCAGUAGGGAAUCUUCCGCAAUGGGCGAAAGCCUGACGGAGCAACGCCGCGUGAGUGAUGAAGGUCUUCGGAUCGUAAAACUCUGUUAUUAGGGAAGAACAAAUGUGUAAGUAACUGUGCACGUCUUGACGGUACCUAAUCAGAAAGCCACGGCUAACUACGUG
rnacentral:rRNA from 1 species